GCCGGGUACAUCUAAUCAUGCAGGGUACCUCUAAUCACGUCGGGUACCUCUAAUCAUGCGGGGUACCCCAGUCUAUGCGGGGUACCUCGAGUUACUCUGGAGUUAUGCGGGGUACUUCUGACCGUGCCGGGUGCCUCAAAUCAUGGCAGGUACCUCUAAUCGUGCGGGGUACCUCUAAUCAUGUCGGGUACCUCGGAUUGCACUGAAGUUAUUUCAUUCGUCGACACGUGGCGUUCUGCUAUCUUUCUUAUUUUUCCCCCAAACAACAUCCCCCUAGUUUCUUUUGGCGAGAAGUAUUGGAGGCAAAAGAAACUUAUAUAAAAAGUAGGAGCGACACGUGGCGAUAUGAAGUUUAGCUCAAUGGGCAGCUGAAUAGAGGACGCCUCUAGGGGUACCCUCAUGAAGGGAAGAUCUCUGGAGUGAACAAGACUUUGAGGGGACACUUUGAUGAAGUUUCAGAGGAGAAGGCCCAUAAAGUGGAAGACCCUGAGGAGCUUUAAGUUAAACUUGAGGACUUGGUACCUCGACAGAAGAACAUAGUUGACAAUGCUUUUGAGCGCAUCAUGACCGAGGAAUGGAGUGCUGAUAUGGGGCUGGUGGUGCCAAGAGUAAAGAACUGGGUAGAUAAGCCGGCUAUCUUGAAGGCAAUUGAGAAUAUCAGGGCUUCCCACACAUCUUGGUCUGAAAGCCCAUAGAGAUCAACUGGGGUACCUCAGAUGAAGUCGCCAUAAGGUACCCCUGAUACCAACGCUUGUGUUUCUGCUAUUUCUAGCACUUUUGUUGAUCCCCUUAUCCUAAAUGAUGAAGGUGAAGAUAACCAUCUUAGUAUGUAACCUUGUUCGGCAUUACCGACAAGGCGUAUGGGGUACCUCGGGUACCCUUAAGCUUGGAUAUCCCUUGAGCUAUCUGUUACUUCAUGGCGGGAUAACCCAAUUUUAUCAAACAUAUAGCGAUUCCUUCAAAUAUGCUUGCUGCUUAUCUCAGGCUUUCUUAGAGUUCCUCUUGGUGUACACGAGGAAUGGUUUUCUGUCAUAGGGUACCCUGAGUACUAUGGGUACCCUUAAUCUUGUCUCAUCAGUGUAUCGCGGUUUACUUAGACAUGCUUGUUGCGGUUAAUUCAUGGCGGAACAACUCAAUUUCAUCAAACAUAUGGUGAUUCCUCCGGAUAUGCUUGUUGCUUAUCUCAAGCUUUCUUAGGGUUCCUCUUGGUGUAUUUGAGGAGUGACUUUCUGGCGUGGGGUACCUCGGAGAUACCCUUAAUUAGUGUAUGACGAUUUUCAUAGAAAUGCUUGCCGCAAAUCUUCACAAAACUUAUGGCGAUUCCUUUUGAGAGAUGAUGGAAAACCUCAUGAUCCACCAUUCACUCUACAUCAAAUAUGCAAGACAAAUAGUAAUAAAGGUGGGCUGCUCGCCUACCCUUAUGCAAGAUGGUCAAAAAUCUCAUGAUCCGCCAUUCGCGUAGAAUCAAAUAGACAACAUAGAUUGAGAUAAAGGUGGCUGCUCGCCUACCCUUAUGUGAUAUGGUCGAAAACCUCAUGAUCCACCAUUCGCUAGAAUCAAAUAGACAACAUAGAUUGAGAUGAAGGUAGCUACUCGCCUACCCUUAUGCGAGAUGGUUGAAAACCUCAUGAUCUACCAUUCACAUGGAAUCAAAUAGACAAUAUAGAUUGAGAUAAAGGUGGCUGCUUGCCUACCCUUAUGCGAUAUGGUCGAAAACCUCAUGAUCCACCAUUCACUGGAAUCAAAUAGACAAUAUAGAUUGAGAUAAAGGUGGCUGCUCGCCUACCCUUAUGCGAUAUGGUCGAAAACCUCAUGAUCUACCAUUCGCUGGAAUCAAAUAGAUAAUAUAGAUUGAGAUAAAGGUGGCUGCUCGCCUACCCUUAUGCGAUAUGGUCGAAAACCUCAUGAUCCACCAUUCGUUGGAAUCAAAUAGACAACAUAGAUUGAGAUGAAGGUAGCUGCUCGCCUACUUUUAUGCGAGAUGGUCGAAAACCUCAUGAUCCACCAUUCGCAUGGAAUCCAAUAGACAAUAUAAAUUGAGAUGAAGGUGGCUGCUCGCCUACCCUUAUGCGAAAUGAUUGAAACCUCAUGAUCGACCAUUCGCUCAGAAUCAAAUAUGGCGAACAAAUAAUGAUAAAGGCGGCUCUGAUGUUGAGUAGAUUAUCAUAAUUGGAGAUAGGUCAGGUACCUCGGGUACCCUGGAGUAAGAUGAUCUUUGCAUACCCUCUUGCAUCAUAAUAAACAAUACUUUUACUAGUAGUAUGACUUUUCUUUAUUGGAUUGGUGGCCCAAAUCGAGACUGAAACCGAGUCUUCAAUCGGGGUACCCCGUUUUUCAUCUUUGGGUAUUCGAGGAUCCAAAGGUGCCUUCAAUUCACAUUUUGGCUUAAUUCGUUCCCCGUGGGGUACCCCUGCAUAACUCUAGAGUAACUAGUUAUGGGGUACCCUACCACCGAGGCCUCGGUGGUGGCUCUUGCUGCUCUGGUGGUGGCGAUCUUGGAGGUUGGGGUACCCGUGAGAUACCCUGAGUAUUAAACACUCGUCCCCGCGGGGCAACCCGUGGAGGGCUCCGCAUUUGGGGUACCCUUGGUAUUGGGGCUUCCGUCCUCUUCGGCUUCUUCUUAUUCUUUGUGACCUCGACCUUAUCUUCUUGGCGCUUCAAAUGACAUUUCUCAUCCAUCUCCACUUGCUGCAACGCCCGGGAACGGGCUUAAUCUGGUCCCCGUGGGGUACCCCGCAUAACUCUAGAGUAAUUAGUUAUGGGGUACCCUACCACCGAGGCCUCGGUGGUGGCUCUUACUGCUCUGGUGGUGGCGAUCUUGGAGGUUGGGGUACCCGUGAGAUACUCUGAGUGUUAAACACUCAUCCCCGCGGGGCAACCCGUGGAGGGCUCCGCAUUCGGGGUACUCUUGGUAUUGGGGUAUCUGAGGCAUGGUGAAUGCUUCAGGAAGAGCUGCCGUCCGAAUCUCUAUAGUGAACGGCGAUUGGUAGGUCAUCGGCGUUGGAGCAGCUGUGAUGUUUUGCUUCACGGAGAGGAGCUUCACUUGGGCUUCCAGGGUUUCCAUCUUUUCCACAAGUUCGAGGGGUACCCUCGGUGUACCCGAUGAUGUCGCCGCCAUUUGAGAAGCCCUUUUGGUGUUUAACUUCUCACGGAGAUCUUCGUGGGUACGCUUUGCACGCCUCGUACCCUGGCUGCUGCGGGAAUUGAAAGAGGCGGUGGAACGCUCGUCGCAGGAGCCCACGGUUUGAAAAUUAGAACGGGUACCCGAUGGCCUAUGCUUUGGUUUGCUGGCCUCGGGUACCUCUUUUUUUACCAUAGCUUGGUCGCCCGUUUGAGGUGGUGGAGCAUCUAGCGCCACUGGUGGAAGUGAACUUUCGGGUGCCCGAGAUCCAACCGCCCUAAGUAUUGCGUGGGCAAGAUCCUCGAAACGCUUGUAAGAAAUAGGUUCCUCCUCUUGGUGAACACUCGUCGAUUGCUUGAUACCCUUGCCCUUGCUGAUGCGGGCUACCUUUCUUGCGGGAUCACUACCUUCACUGCUGCUGUCAUCUCUCAACCUUGUAGGAUCCCCCAUUAAACCUUCGGGAGGUACGUCAGGUGCCAUGUAUUGGAGUACACACAACAACUAGUUUGGUAACCGCGGAGGAGACUUUUUGUGCGACUCCCCACAGACGGCGCCAAUUGUUUUCAACUGAUUUUGGGGUAGGAAAAGCCAAAAUCUAUCUUAAACAAUGAAUUUAUAUUUUUGGGGGAGAUGGGGUACCUCACUGGUUUGUUGUGUGCGGUGCAUCUGAAAUUUGGGGGAGGUGAAAAGGAGAGAGAGAGUGGUAACAAUGGUGGAAGGUCAGAAACAAGAGAGAUGUCCUUCCAAAAUGAGCUUCACGCCUGCAAAACAGUGAAAUGGAGGUUAGAGGUGAAGCCGGGGUACCCCGGCGUUCACACUCCGACGCUCAAGUUAGCAAACUCAAGCUUUUAUGGCAAAGAGAGCUGGCUAGCCCUCUGUAAAUUAGGGUUUAAGGUUGAAGAAAACCUAUUUUUUGGAGUGUGAGUGUUAAUGGUGAGUGAGAGCCUCAUGGAGAAUGAAACCUAGGCAUCUUUAUAUAUGGAGUACCUCAGCUGCCACGUGGCGUACCCUUUUUGGCUAACGUCCUUUUACCUUUUUAUGAUUUUUGGGCUGUUAUGUGCAUGUUCGCGGCGUAUCUCAUCCUUUGGAAACGUGGCGCGGGCUGAAGAGUGGUCCAGGGUACCUCUGCAGUAACUGUCGGGUAGGCGGCUGAGGACCACUGUCCUUGGGACAGUGUCCUUUACUUUUGGCAGAGGUAGCAGGCGGUUGUCCCCCCCUUUUGGUACGACGUUCUUGAUUCCUUAUUCUGACAAAAUCGAAUAAUAUCUUUUAAGAAGUGGAGACGUUUCUCAUGGCGGAUAUUUUUGGAGGAUUCUCUUGCAUAUGAUCUGCCGGGUACCUCGAGUUACGUGGGGUACCUCAAUUUAUGUGGGGUACCCCUAAUUGUGCGGGGUACCUCUAUUUGUGUGGGGUACCUCGUAUCAUGUAGGGUACCUCUAUUUGUGUGGGGUACCUCUAAUCAAGCAGGGUACUUCUAAUUACGCCGGGUACCUCUAAUCAAGCCGGUGACCUCUAAUUACGCCGGGUACCUCUAAUCAUGCGGGGUACCUCUAAUCACGCCGGAUACCUCUAAUCAUACGGGGUACCUCUAAUCAGGCCGGGUACCUCUAAUCACCCAGGGUACCUUUAAUCAUGCGGGGUACCCCUAAUCAAGCCGGGUACCUCUAAUUACGCCGGUUACCUCUAAUUAUGCAGGGUACAUCUAAUUACGCCUGGUACAUCUAAUCAUGCAGGGUACCUCUAAUCACGUCGGGUACCUCUAAUCAUGCGGGGUACCUCGAGUUACUCUGGAGUUAUGCGGGGUACUUCUGACCGUGCCGGGUGCCUCAAAUCAUGGCAGGUACCUCUAAUCGUGCGGGGUACCUCUAAUCAUGUCGGGUACCUCGGAUUGCACUGAAGUUAUUUCAUUCGUCGACACGUGGCGUUCUGCUAUCUUUCUUAUUUUUCCCCCAAAC
rnacentral:lncRNA from 1 species